rnacentral:piRNA from 1 species
GCAGUCAGAUGACCCGGGUGGGA